AGUCCCCCCAGCCCCUAAUGGGUUUGUCCUUCCUUCAAAUUGUACUCCAACACAUUAUGUUCAUUACCAUCACCAGGAACAGUGUCCACACUAUAGCAAACGAAAUUAAAUGUUUUUCGAACAUGAACAUAAACAAAAUCAAGUCAUGUUAUGAACACAUAAACAUAAAAGUGUCUAAAUGUGACAGUGUCAUGUCAACUUUAUGAAAUGUGACUUUUUCCAUUUUAUAUACUCGCAGCUUAUGUUUAUACAAAAAUGUUAAAUCUAGAAAAACGAAAUAUGUAUAGAUUCCAAAUUUUGCACUUUUAGAGAAGAAUAAAUCUAUUUAUCAUUUGA